AAGCUUGCUUCUCUGCUGACGAGCGGCGGACGGGUGAGUAAGACUUGGGAAUUUGCCUUUAGGCGGGGGACAACCACUGGAAACGGUGGCUAAUACCGCAUAAUGUCUACGGACCAAAGUGGGGGACCUUCGGGCCUCACACCUAAAGAUGAGCCCAAGCGGGAUUAGCUAGUUGGUGGGGUAAAGGCUCACCAAGGCGACGAUCCCUAGCUGUUCUGAGAGGAUGAUCAGCCACACUGGGACUGAGACACGGCCCAAACUCCUACGGGAGGCAGCAGUGGGGAAUAUUGCACAAUGGGGGAAACCCUGAUGCAGCCAUGCCGCGUGUGUGAAGAAGGCCUUCGGGUUGUAAAGCACUUUCAGUGGUGAGGAAAGGGUGAUAGUUAAUAGCUAUCACAGUUGACGUUAGCCACAGAAGAAGCACCGGCUAACUCCGUGCCAGCAGCCGCGGUAAUACGGAGGGUGCAAGCGUUAAUCGGAAUUACUGGGCGUAAAGCGUACGUAGGCGGUGUGUUAAGCUAGAUGUGAAAGCCCCGGGCUCAACCUGGGAAUAGCAUUUAGAACUGGCACGCUAGAGUCCUGAAAGAGGGUGGUAGAAUUUCCAGUGUACCGGUGAAAUGCGUAAAUAUUGGAAGGAAUACCGGUGGCGAAGGCGGCCACCUG
rnacentral:rRNA from 1 species